ACAGAGGUCCCAAGCGUUGUUCGGAUUCACUGGGCGUAAAGGGUGCGUAGGCGGUCGGGUAAGUCUGAUGUGAAAGCUCGGAGCUCAACUCCGGAAAUGCCAUUGAAACUGUAAGACUUGAGGAUGAGAGAGGUGAGUGGAAUUCCCAGUGUAGAGGUGAAAUUCGUAGAUAUUGGGAAGAACACCGGUGGCGAAGGCGGCUCACUGGCUCAUUUCUGACGCUCAGGCGCGACAGCGUGGGGAUCAAACAGGA
rnacentral:rRNA from 1 species